rnacentral:rRNA from 1 species
AUUGAACGCUGGCGGCAUGCUUUACACAUGCAAGUCGAACGGUAACAGGUUAAGCUGACGAGUGGCGAACGGGUGAGUAAUGCAUCGGAACGUGCCCGAUCGUGGGGGAUAACGCAGCGAAAGCUGCGCUAAUACCGCAUACGAUCUGAGGAUGAAAGCGGGGGACCGUAAGGCCUCGCGCGAUCGGAGCGGCCGAUGUCAGAUUAGGUAGUUGGUGGGGUGAAGGCUCACCAAGCCAACGAUCUGUAGCUGGUCUGAGAGGACGACCAGCCACGCUGGGACUGAGACACGGCCCAGACUCCUACGGGAGGCAGCAGUGGGGAAUUUUGGACAAUGGGCGAAAGCCUGAUCCAGCAAUGCCGCGUGCAGGAAGAAGGCCUUCGGGUUGUAAACUGCUUUUGUACGGAGCGAAAAGGUCUCCUCUAAUACAGGGGGCUCAUGACGGUACCGUAAGAAUAAGCACCGGCUAACUACGUGCCAGCCGCCGCAGUAA